UCCACGCCGCGCAUACCAUCUUCUUCUCCCGCCCCACGCGACCACCACCUCCCUUUUCUCCCUCGCCCUGCUCUGCCUCACCCACCGCCGCCUCCUCCCCCCUAGCCCCGACACGGCCUCCCGCUUCUCGACGCUCGCCUCAAAGAAGGCGGCCGCCUCCACCAUCCCCGGGCCCGACGGGGGCAUGGGGAGUGGGCUGCUCUCGGUGCUCGGCCGGGUGCCCACCGACGAGAAGUACCACCGCGCGCGCCCAGGUGCAUCGCAAGGGCGUGGAGGCGGAGGGGUACGCCAUCGGUGGGAUCUCGGUGAGCGGGCACGAGAACUGCGUCACCGUGACGUCCCUCAACGUCCCAAGUACACCAUGACAUGGAUCCGUCCGAGCUCAAGCACACCCUCAUCCCAAAAGACGCUGACGAGUAGUAUGAGUUCAGGAGGGAUCUAAAGAUGUAGAAUUGGAUUUAUGGAAGAAAAAUAAGAUUCGAGAGGUGAACCAGUUCACUUUUUUUUCUGUUUACACUCAAGAUUUUGGUGAGGAAAAUAAGAUUCGAGAGGUGAAGCAGUUCACUUUUUUUCUGCCUACAUGCCUAAUGAGGUUACACAAUAUUUAAUUUGGUAAAUUUUUCUGCACCAUCGUUGCUGCAAAUUAAUAACCAACCUCUUCGUCUUGAUUUUUUAGAAGUUACUUCAGAAGGGGACUAGGAUUACCUUAUAGUCAGCAUUGUUCACAUAGACUAGAUUUUUUAAUGAUGAAAAAGUGUGACAAUUGAAAACCUAUCCUUGAAUCAUGCUGGUUUGUGCACUGCAGUUUGCAACUGGACAGGUUCGAACAUCUGGCCAAUUGGGCACUGCCUAUUUGUCCGAACCUGAAAUUCACAAGUCACUUUAGUUUUCACUAACACAGCUAGGCCAGCCCCCCCUAUCAGGUCGAGAUAGCCUCAACAGCGGACAGGUUGGUGGAUCAAUCACAUACCCACCAUACAGUAACUUCUAGCUAUACUUAUAUGGAACGAAUUAUUUGUCGUAGUCACCAGGCCACGGAUGGCGUUGCGGGGGUACACGCUUGCCAAGGUCUGCUGACAUAUAGGCUUGUGAUGGAUCCAGGGUGUGUUACUAUAUGCAACAACAUGACCACAAUGGUGUCUUGGUUUACAAUUUGAGUGGCAUCAAAACAUUUAGUACACAUUUUUUCCCAAGAAUGGCUUUAUUUUUAUCACAUUAUUUGUUUUAUCUGUUAUUUUUGACUUAGUUUAUUCUCUUGAGUGUUACAGAAGAGGUGUCUUUGCAGAGCUUAAUAGCAAUUUAUUUGGUUGGAGCACACUGAUACUGCAUUGAAAAUGAUCGAACAGGCAACCAGAGUGGAAGACUUCUCUUUUUGAUUGAAUCUGGAUCUAAAGAGGCAUAAGCAUGUACAGGAACUGGUGGUCCACCUUGCUGCUACAAAUGGACAGCCCGGUUUUAUCCAUGUGUUGGACUAGAUGAUCUAUGAUGAUUUGAACAUUGCACCAGUAGGGUUUCAGCAACACUAUGUAUGAUCUAAACAAUGCCUGAAAGUAUUUGUUGGAGCAUUUGUUUCAAACAAAUUUGUUGAAAGAUAUUCUAAUAUUUUAGUGCGUGGGAUAUAUAGUGCUUUAAUAUUC